AGGUGUACUAGAAUAACUUUCAUGCCUCAACGACCCGAGAGUUUUAUCAUUAUCCUUUCGAAUCGUCUCUGGAUGAUCGUCGAAAAACGGAGGAUUCAAUUGUUGCUCAGGUUUCUUACUCGUCGACUUUUUGUUCCAAUUGUGGUACUACCGGCUUAUUUGGCGGCACUGGAGGAGGAACACCGCGAGAUACUGGUGGCUUUUUCGAGGGCAGCAUACCGGAUGCUUGAAUCGCCGAACCAGAGCCAACAUGAAAACCAAGCUUUCCUGUAGCUUGUGUCGACGGUAUAAGUUUUACCGUGCCUCCAGGAUUUACAGGAGCAGGUACAACCACACGUUUGUCUACAGCCUGAGGAAUGAAUACACAGGAGAUCCGAUUUAACGUUCCGGUUAUCCCUUUGAAGCACCCCCACUAGAAGGGCACAUAUAGACGAUCGCUGCAUUUAAGAUAAUGAUUGAGAACAGAAAGAAAAAAAAAAUGGGGCAGUCGAAAUUAUACCAAAUCACCAA